GGGCGUGACGGGGUGUGGGCCCAUUAUCUGUUGAAAUGUCGCUGUGCUGACAGGUCUGAGAUCAGCAGCUUCCCACAGUCACACGAUCCACAGCUGCACAGCAUGCUGGGACUCCUGAGGGUCCGGUGAUCUAUUGGUGUAUCGAUCUGCUGAUUGGCCGACAGGAUGACCAGCGACUAUUACCCGUAUUCCAAGGAGACUUAUGGAACAUGGAGACAUUUCCACAACAUACAUGUCAACAAAACCAGGUUCAAAGACGUGAACAUUUAUGAUAACAACUCUUUAAAUAUCUCCAUAUGAUACUAUGAUACUGUUAACAGACAUAAAAUAAAUCAAAUCACUGAAGACUUUUAUUGUUUAAAUCUCAGUGAUUCUGUGGUUUUCAUAUUUUUAACUGUCUCUCAUUAUGUUUCAUAGCCGUCGUAGUAGUUUAUUUUAUAAUAUUUGAUUCUUUGUGUGAAGUUCUUAACUUCUAUACAUUUUUAUUUCUUGUGUCUAUGUUUAUUGUUAUGCUGUUGGCGACGAUGAAAACUGUGACGCUGUGCUUUCAUUGGCUAGAUGAAAAAAUAAAUAAAUCAUAAGAGCAAAUAAAGUAAAUAUAUAUGAAUGAAUAAGUAAAUUGACAAAUUCAUAAAUAAGCAAAUUAAUGAUUGAAUAAAUAAAAAAGUAAAUGGAUGAAUUAUUUAAUUAUAUGUAAGUCAAUAAAUGAAUGCAUAACUAAAUGCCAUUGACAUAAUUAUGUGUUUUAACGCGCUUCGUGUAUAUAUUAUAUACACGAAGUAACUUUCUAUUAAAUAUUGAUAUAUAUCUAUAUAUUGUAUAUACGACCACUAUGAAUAUAAUAACAAUAAUAACAAGCAAAUUUUCAAGUAUGAAAUUGACAAAAUGUUGUUAAAUAUAAAAAUAGUGCAAAUCAAUACUAGACAUUGACGAUGUACAUUUUUCUAACCAAAUAAAAGAAUUAAAAAAAGAAUGAAUACCUAUUAAAUAAUAUUUGACCUCCUUUUAUAGUUUUUAUUGAUCAACAUAUGAAGUUUCUACCUGGGGGCCGUUUUGGGGGUCGCGAGCAUCAAGUUGAGCCCCAGUGUGUGUGUGUGUGUGUGUGUGUGAGAGCGUGUGUGCGUGUGUGUGUGUGUGUGUGUGUGUGUGUGUGUGCGUGUGUGUGUGUGUGUGUGUGUGUGUGUGUACAGUAGGAAGAAGAAACAGCCAAUCAGAUCGUCUCUUUUCUGCCCGGAAGUCUUGGUCCUGCAGCCGUUUGUUCCACCUAAUUACCGAACCAAUACAGGACCAAUACCGGGUCAUUACCGGGUCAACACCGGGUCAACGCCGGACCAACACCGGGCCACUACCGGGCCGAUACCGGCUCUUUACCGCGUUAAAGUGGGACGCCGGGGAACCUCCGCGGUCCGGUUACCGGAGGGAACACCUGCCCGGUGCGUCGCCCGGUUCACACCGACUCGCUUGCGGGUCGGAGGAUUUUAACGGGUCACGGCACGAGCGGACUUCGUCCGUUCGUGGGUCCACGAGCCGGACGAUGUCGGUGAACGAGCUCUACUCAAAGGUGAGUGACCCUACCUGUGGGGCACGGUGACGUCACGGCGGCGCGAGGACGCUGAAACAAUAUGCCAAUCAUUUCCGCGGCUGAUUAACGGGAGGCCGAACGAACCGGGGAACCGGGCAGAGUUCUGCUGCCGAGUCGCGCGCUGACGUUCAGCGCUUUAAGUGGUGAUUCUUUAAAAUACACGUUUAUCAAUAUGGAGUCCGGCGGCGCGCUGCGCGGGCACGAGCGGGCUCAGAGCAAAUGUAAAUGAUUGUUUUCAUGCGGUUUGGAAGCAAAGAGACAUUUUGAAAUGUUGUACAACGAUGUGAAAGUAGUUUGUGAAAUGAAUAUAUAUGAAUUCUACUUCUUAAACACUGAUAAUAAGCAUCGUCAUCGUCGUUAAUACACAAAUGACUACUUACUAAACUUUAUCAACACACCCACAGAGAUGCUUGCAGCUGUCUUCUGCUUCAGGUUGUUGUGACGUCACAGUGACGUCAUGGGGCUAAAGGUUCGGCAGCCGGCGGUCUCCAGGUGCAUUGUGGGAAACGGGGCUUCGACUUGAGUUUGACCCGCAGUGACGCGACGCGGUUUGACGGAUCAAUAGAUUUGAUUUUGAUGAGUUUUAGAAACAUAAUUCACUUUUAAUACGUAGAGAAUCUGAAUUAUAUGUUUAUUAGCUCAUAACAUCAUAAAUCAAUCAGUGAAAACCUCUUCAAACAAUUGGAUUUAUGAUGUUCAAACUCAAAUAGUUAAUAAUCAAUAGCACAAACAUAAAGAGAUUAAAUUUAACACAUCAAUCUGCUACAUGGAUUGAUCUUAAAAUAUGAGAUGAGUGAAUUUGUGGAUAAUGUGUCGUGUUAUUAUUAAUUGUAACAAUAAUCUCUUCUCGCAGUGUUUCAUAUGGUUAUUCUCACUCAAUGAUCAAUAAAUAAACCGUUUGUGUUGAGUAGAGAUGAGACUGAGACGGUUGACGACGUGUGAUGAAGCUUUGGGGUCUUAAGGAAGAGGAUUACCCUGAAGGGGGGGGGGGGGGAUUUAAUGUCUCCCUCAAUCUGUUUGUACAUUUCAUUUGGGGAGAUUGUUGAAGAGACACUUUGCUAAUCCUUGCUGGUUACCCAAUAACUAGCAGUGCGUCAGAGUGAAGUAUCGGUCGUCAUAGCGACAUCAUCAUUAGUUUGUGGACUUCAUGAAGCCUCCAGUUCUUUUUCUUGUUUUUUUAUCACCCGUUGAACAGGAAGUGACCAAUUAGGAAUGAGUAGGAGGGCGUACUGACGCCUUAUUCAUCUGUUAGAGACCUGUCAAUCAGCGUCUAGCCCCGCCCUAAAGCAUCUCCUGCUUUAUGGUCUAUUGGCGACCUGUCAAUCACGUCCCCUUGUCUCACUUUUUGACGUGAUCUGAAGAUCAAAACUCCUUGUCAGGUAAAUGGGUUAAUUUUACUUCCUGUGGGACACGCCCGCCUCCUCUGUGAUGUCACGGCGUGACUCAUCAGUGGGCGGAGCCUUGAGGCAACCCGAAACCAGGCUGCUCUCAGUGCAGUGAGACAGAUUCAAACGGUCUCACUGCUUCAAAUCAGUGAGGUUCCUACUGAACCUGCUCCUCUAGUUCUCCUCCUCCACCUCCCUGUGUGUGUGUGUGUGUGUGUGUGUGUGUGUGUGUGUGUGUGUGUGUGUGUGUGUGCGUGUGUAUAUAUAUAUAUCUAUAUAUAUAUACAUCUAUAUAUAUAUAUAUAUAUAUAUAUAUAUAUAUAUAUAUAUAUGACAGAGUCUCAUACGAGCUUCUGCUUCAUGUAACUGCGAAAAAGCAAAUAUGGCUGCUAAAUAUUUACCGGCAUGUGGAACACUUCCUGUUUCUAAAGAAUCCUUCUUUGUCCGAUAGAAGUAAAAGUCAAUUGAUAAUAAAUGAUGAAUAAGUUAAUAUUUGUGAUGACAUAAUGAGGCGAGCAAACACUGAGCUGUUGUUGUUGUGUCGUUGUUGACUCACUU
ensembl:lncRNA